CCCUUAGAUGUUCUGGGCCGCACGCGCGCUACACUGAUGCAUUCAACGAGUCCAACCUUGACCGAGAGGUCCGGGUAAUCUUUGAAACCGCAUCGUGAUGGGGCUAGAUUAUUGCAAUUAUUAAUCUUCAACGAGGAAUGCCUAGUAAGCGUGAUUCAUCAAAUCGCGUUGAUUACGUCCCUGCCCUUUGUACACACCGCCCGUCGCUCCUACCGAUUGAGUGUGUUGGUGAGGAGUUUGGAUUGGCCUCGGAAGGUGGUUCGCCACCGUCCGUAGCUGAGAAGUUCUCCAAACCGCCCCACUUAGAGGAAGGAGAAGUCGUAACA
rnacentral:rRNA from 1 species